AACGAACGCUGGCGGCAGGCCUAACACAUGCAAGUCGAGCGAAGCCUUCGGGCUUAGCGGCGGACGGGUGAGUAACGCGUGGGAACGUGCCCUUUGGUACGGAAUAGCCCCGGGAAACUGGGAGUAAUACCGUAUGUGCCCUUCGGGGGAAAGAUUUAUCGCCAAAGGAUCGGCCCGCGUUGGAUUAGGUAGUUGGUGGGGUAAUGGCCUACCAAGCCGACGAUCCAUAACUGGUUUGAGAGGAUGAUCAGCCACACUGGGACUGAGACACGGCCCAGACUCCUACGGGAGGCAGCAGUGGGGAAUCUUAGACAAUGGGGGAAACCCUGAUCUAGCCAUGCCGCGUGAUCGAUGAAGGCCUUAGGGUUGUAAAGAUCUUUCAGUGGGGAAGAUAAUGACUGUACCCACAGAAGAAGCCCCGGCUAACUCCGUGCCAGCCGCCGCUGUAAAAC
rnacentral:rRNA from 1 species